GUGUAACCCUGGUUAACAUAGCUGUCAAUAAAUAAAAGCCUGUUAGUAAAAACAGUCAUAAGAAAUAUAUUACAGGUGAUAAGUAGUCAAUAAAUAGAUCAUAAUGGUUAGAAAAUUCAUUAAAAAUAUCAGCAAUGUUAUAAUUCAUGGUAUAGGAUUUCAUUUGUGUUUAAAAAUAUGUUAAAAUGGUUCAAAAACUAGCGAAUUCAUGGUGUUUUAUGUUAAUUCAGGUAAAAUGGCUAAAAUAUGUGUUCAGACUCGAAAGGGCACGCUGCAGCGUGACUCCUGUGAUCAGCCACACCCAAUCGGGUUGUUCCUUCUUUUUGAUGCUGGAGAGGGAGAAAUGCAAAAAGUCCUUGCGGAGCUGCUGCCUAAACGAGUGGAAAAAAUAUUAAAAACCAAGCCAGAAGUCUACAUAAAGCAAUUUUUGUACUUUGGAGAAUAUAUUUUUGUUUUUCCGAGCUGUCCUUGCCUUGGUGACGUUGUGAACGUAACCGAACGGGACUUGGCCAUUAAGGUUUGGAUUGGGAAAUGCCAAGCUAGAAUCGGAGUUUGAUCCGCUGAGCGAGAAACAAGAUGGCGAGCCACCCACGGACCCAUUGAACUGUACCGAGCAGGAAAAGGAAAAACCGCCCCCUGCUGGAUGUUGAGUUCUUUCGCUAAAAGAAACUGUACCUCUCGGACCAUUCACUCAUCUGUGCAGUUCCUCACUUACCUCUUCAUCACUGAUCACUCCAUCAUUCAGAGUCAUUCCACCUGCCUGCCCUCCUGCCGUCACCUCUGGUCUUGGAACACUCUGGAACUCUGGACUCUCUGGAUCACAGUCAAACAGACACUCACCUGGAACCCGCUGGCAGUUUUCCCCCACGCUUCCUCCGACCUGCUCACAAAUACCCCAAAAGAAGACCCUUAUGAUGCCUGCCUGGUGGCUGGGCAUUAGCCCAUGGGUCCGGCCAGGCUCUGUUGGCUUCAUCACGGGGUGGCCUCCAGCUUGAACUGGAGCGGUUUGUAGCUCCAGAGUGUGAAGAGACGGGAAUGGGAAUCUAAACCUCCACAUCUGUGGCCUUGGUACUUGCCAAGAAAAAGGUGGAGUGCCCACAGCUGGUGUCUUUCGAGCCCCUAUACCAUCAGAGAUGCAGACUGUGCGCUGAUAACAAGCUGGCUUGUCUCUAUCUUCUUUUGUCCAGAGGGUGUGGCAUCCAUCUUUAAAAAUAAAAAAGAAUUUCAAAUUUUGAUUAAUCUGACCACAGAACACUUUUCCACUUCGCCUCAGUCCGUUUUAAAUGAGCUUUGGCUGCAAAGACAACAGCGUUUCUGGGUCACGUUAACAUAUGGCUUCUUCUGUGCCUGACAGUGUCACGGCCAGGCGGAUCAGCUGCACGCUGAUCAGCACUCUCUCUCUUCCUCUCUCCUCUUCUCUCUCGCCGGGGCGGAACUCACUGUGGGUUCACGCCCUCGGCCCACGCCCUCGGGAGAUGAGACACCUGGGUCUCGUUAAGGUGAUCAGCACUUAAGCCAGGAGGUGACUGCUGUUCGUCGCUGGAUCGUUGUCUACCACGUAGCUCCCUGGAUUUUCCCCCCGUGUGGCAGUGUCGGAGUGUGAGCCUGUGAUCGUGUGAGUGGAUAUUCUGAAGAACGCGUGCUUUCCCCUGGACUUCCCUGGAGACCCCUUCUCCCCUCACUCAGCUGUAUAUAGCACCCCCCCGCACAUUCUUGUAUAUACACCUGGUGCAUUGUAAAUAAACCCUUCUUGUGAGCAUCAGAACCGGAGUCUUGCGCUUGAGUCCUCCUCCAAACCGUAACAGACAGAGCUUUAACCUACACAUGUGGAUGCCACAGAAAGCUGUGUUCACAGACAACGAUUUCUGGAAGUGUUCCUGAGCAGAUGCAGUGACGUGCCUGAUUUCAAUCCCGUGCCGAACUGAUUGAUUCAAUUGAUUAAUAUUGAUUUCCAGCAGUGUCCCUUGUGGCCAGAGAUUUCUGUAGAUUCCUGGAACCCUUUGAUAAUGAGAUAUUCAGUCUUUGUAAUUUUACAUUAAGGAAAAUUGUUCUGAUAUUGUCAUACAAGCUGCCGAUGCAUAUUUUUGCAGAGUGGUGAACUUUUGCCCAUCUUUACUUCUGAAAAACUCUCCUUUUCUGAUGCUGAUGUUACUGACCUGUUGCCCUUAUCCCAAUUAGAAAAAUAUUCCUCCAAUUGUUUGUUUUUAGUAUCACUUACUUUUCCAGCUUUUUGUUGGACCUGUCUCAACUUUUUCAAAAAUCUCCAAAUUAGCUAAUAUUUUUGAUGAAACAGUCUCACUUUAAGCACAUGAUAUGCUUUUUAUGUUCUUUUGUAAAUAAAA